rnacentral:rRNA from 1 species
GUAAGGAAUAUUGGACAAUGGGGGGAACCCUGAUCCAGCCAUGCCGCGUGUGUGAAGAAGGCCUUUUGGUUGUAAAGCACUUUAAGCGAGGAGGAGGCUACCGAGAUUAAUACUCUUGGAUAGUGGACGUUACUCGCAGAAUAAGCACCGGCUAACUCUGUGCCAGCAGCCGCGGUAAUACAGAGGGUGCAAGCGUUAAUCGGAUUUACUGGGCGUAAAGCGCGCGUAGGUGGCCAAUUAAGUCAAAUGUGAAAUCCCCGAGCUUAACUUGGGAAUUGCAUUCGAUACUGGUUGGCUAGAGUAUGGGAGAGGAUGGUAGAAUUCCAGGUGUAGCGGUGAAAUGCGUAGAGAUCUGGAGGAAUACCGAUGGCGAAGGCAGCCAUCUGGCCUAAUACUGACACUGAGGUGCGAAAGCAUGGGGAGCAAACAGGAUUAGAAACCCCUGUAGUCC